rnacentral:rRNA from 1 species
UGGGGAAUAUUGGACAAUGGGCGGAAGCCUGAUCCAGCAAUACCGCGUGUGUGAAGAAGGCCUUAGGGUUGUAAAGCACUUUCAAUAGGGAGGAAAAAGGUAAGCUUAAUACGUUUGCCCUUGACAUUACCUAUACAAGAAGCACCGGCUAACUCCGUGCCAGCAGCCGCGGUAAUACGGAGGGUGCAAGCGUUAAUCGGAAUUACUGGGCGUAAAGCGUGCGUAGGCGGCCUGUUAAGUCAGAUGUGAAAGCCCCGGGCUCAACCUGGGAACUGCAUUUGAAACUGGCAAGCUAGAGUUGGGUAGAGGGGAGUGGAAUUUCAGGUGUAGCGGUGAAAUGCGUAGAUAUCUGAAGGAACACCAGUGGCGAGGGCGACUCCCUGGACUCAAACUGACGCUGAGGCACGAAAGCGUGGGUAGCAAACAGGAUUAGAUACCCUUGUAGUCCCUGAGCGGGCUGGCAAGGCGCAU